UCGAAUGCAAUUUUUUAAAAAUCUUUUAUUUUUUUAUUUUUUUAUUUUUUGCUCAGCAUAUCUGAAUGGCUACCCAGCAGGUACAGUUAGGACAGGACACAAAGGAACAUGAAUGAGCAGGAUCUUGGUGGAUUAUUUUAUCUUGAAUGUCCUUGGAAAGAAGCCAUUAUAAAAUGCUGGUUCUCCUCUGUUUACUGCUCUAGUUGGCAGCAUGAACCUGGGAGAGGGUGCCUGAAAAUGAGGGGGACCUUUUGGGUCAUGCAAUAGCCAGCCAACUCUAUUCAGAGCUUCAGACCACUUAUACUCUAAGGGUUAACAAGAGUCAGUGGAGGAAAGUGUAGAACCAAUCACAAGGACAAGCCACGCAUGGCAAAAACAUGUUUCUCUAAAGAGGCAUAUAAACAAAUAACAAUAGGCAGUUGUAAGGGAUAAUCUGAAGUGAAAUCACUCCUCCCCAUGCACCUGGGAGGACAUGAAAGCACAUUCCAAGAACAACUUAUGCUAUGGAGGAACAGAGAUUACAAGACUCUUGUUUACCUGGAGUUUUCUCACAAGGUCUCAGAAAUCUCCUCCCACAGCUUGGUUCAUGAACCAUGUUCCAACACUCCUCCCUGGUGCUGGUGAGCACAUCUGCUGCAGGGGUAUUAGAAGACAAUGGCUAACAUGGCAUCAAACAGUUCACACCAAAUCUCACCUAGAAUUAGAAACUAAUCCUUUUGGGUUUUGUUUUUGUUUUGAGACAGGGUUUCUCUAUGUAACAGUCCUAGCUAGUUGUCUUGGAACUCACUUUGUAGACUAGGCUGGCUUCAAACUCACUGAGAUCCACCUGCCUCUGCUUCCCAAGUGCUGGGAUUAAAGGUGUGCACCACCAACACCUGGAAAAACUAAUUAUUUGUAUCCAAACUUUGAAACACUUGGAUGAAGCAGGUGAACAAAUUUCUUCCACAGUAGUUUUCCUGUCAGACCUACAGAUGGUCUUUGUGUAAACUUUCUCUCUAGCAGUACUUUCUCAGGUCCCAUCAUAAUGUGGUUAUUCUCCAGGGUCCUGGGGAGCUUGGGUGAGAGAUGCUGAGGCCCAGCCACUGCUACUGAAAAGGGACAUGGCAUAGAGUGAGCACAGUUGGCAGAGCCUCUUCUUGAGCCUGGCUAGAGGUGGGUUAGCAAUUCUGAUGUCAUUCGAGAGAAGACUAUUUGAGGAGGGGACAGGAGUAGUCAUUUACUGCAUGAGCGUUUCAGAAAAGCCGGGAUUCAGUUCUCUUCUUCUACCAUGUGGGUCCCAUAGGCAAAGUUGGGUAAUCGGGCUUGGUAGUAAGCAUCCACUGAGCCAUCUUGAAUGCACUGUAAAUUAUUUUGAGUGACAAUUUAUUCCAUUUCUUGUAGGUAGAGUUUUUCCACUGGACUGCCAGCUCUCAACCACAUAGAGACUUAUUAUUAGUUAUAAAACAAGCUUAGGCUUGUUUUUAGCUAGCUUUUAUAACUUAAAUUAACCAAUUUCUAUUAAUCUAUGUGCUACCCCGAGGCUCAUUUACCUCAUCUAUGUACUUUCCAUGCUGCUUCUACCGAGUCUGGCUAAUCACUCCCCAGACUCCUCCCUUCUUCUCCCCAGAAUUCUCUCUGCCCCCCAAGCCCUGCUACUGGCUGUUUAGCUUUUUAAUAAACCCAAUCAAUGUGACAUAUAUUCACACAGUGUAAAAGAAUAUUCCACAACUUCUUUCAUUUCUCUACUAGAUUGCAAGAUCCUAGAUCUUGAAUCUUACUCUCCUUUGUAGCCUUGACUAUAUGCUCUUUUCUGAUUUUUUUUUUUUUUACUACAGAAGAGAUUUUCUGUAAAUACUAAGUGGGUAGCAUGAAAAUGAUAGUGGGGAAAACAGUGGGCAGAAUUGGAUGUAUAAUUGGUUGGUCACAGUGGGGAGGGGAAAUACGAGAGCAGACAUCUAGGAUUUUAAGAUGGUAAUAGUGGAGCAUCGGUGUCAAUAUAGGGCCCUCUGAGUCCUGUGUCUCUCCACAGCCACACACUCCUGCAGCCCCCUCAGCGGCUGACUUUGACCUCACAACUCCGAAGCACCUGAGUGAUUUAAAAGGCUAGGAUGCAGGGAGACGGCUACCAUGUGAUACCCAGUCAUUCUCCUCCUAGACGAGGGUAUGCUUUGUUGCACAGUUGACCACAUAAGAACUACAUUUCUGAAACUUGAACUCAGUGUUCUCUCUGGCCGAACAGUAGAAAAGAUGUGUGCAGGAUCCAAGUAGAAGAGCCCCUCGGGUGCCGGCUGUUGGUGGCGCACGCCUUUAAUCCCAGUACUCGGGAAGCAGAGGCAGGCGGAUCUCUGUGAGUUCGAGGCCAGCCUGGUCUCCAGAGCGAGUGCCAGGACAGGCUCCAAAGAUACACAGAGAAACCCUGUCUCAAAAAAACCAAAAAAAAAAAAAAAAAAAAAAGAGCCCCUCGGUCCAUCUUCCCAGCUCUGUGAUCCCGUAGCCCAGUUUCAGCCAUAAAAACAUCCUAAGAGACUCAGCGUGCCAGAGCACAGUUGGAAGGGCUCUGGGUCCCUGAGAGGCACGAUGUAUGUGAAACAGACACACUCAGAAACACAGCACACCUCAGAGCAGUGGCUCAAAUCAGUGGGGGGUCCCCUAUCACAGAUUUGUCGACAAAUACAUUGCUGACAAUAAUAUGAUAAAAACAUCUCUUUUCAUUCACCCAGCAGCCAGUCACAUGGCCCUCUAGACCAGUGGUUCUCAACCUCCCUAAUGCUGCAACCAUUUAACAUGGUUCCUUAUGUUGUGGUGACCCCCCCAACCAUAAAGUUGAAAUAUCAUUGCUACUUCAUAGCUGUAAUUUUGCUACUGUUUAUGAGCCAUAAUGUAAAUAUCUGUGUUUUCUGAUGGUCUUCAGUGAUUCCCGUAAAGGGUCCAAUGGGGUCAUGACCACAGGUUGAGCAACACUUCUCUACACUCAGCCAAAGCAGGAACAUGCCUGCAGGUCUCUGAGUAUGACAGAAAUAGACUUAAGGUCAGGUCCAAAGAAGGAGCUUGGGUUAGCAAGGGAGUGAACCACGCUCAGGCCUGAUCUAAAUCUGCUCCCUCCCAAGAAACUCAAUGGUUCUCAACUUGUAUGUCUUGGCCCAUUGGACCCUUCCCAGGGGUCACGUGAGACCAUCAGGAAACACAGACUUUUUGCAUUAUGAUUCAUAACAAAAGUUGGGAGGUCACCACAACACGAGGAAGUGUAUUAAAGGGUCGAAGCAUUAGGAAGGUUGAGAAGCGCUGAGUUAAAUUAAGCUUGCCUUACCCUAAAUUGACCUAGUAAGAUAAUAUAGUCUUAAAACUAGUGGCUGAAACCUGGCUAAUCAUGAGUUUUCUGCAAGCCACAGACUACAAACUAAGGAAAUAUGUUCAUUUAAGACACAUACCAAACUGCACGCUAUCUCUGUCCUUCAGCAGCAUCUUCUGACUGUGUGAUAGAGUUCUCUGGAUCUCCUUCACCACAAGUACCAUCUGCUUUGUCAGUCUGUCCCCUGCUCAGAUAAUCCCUCUUGAAUGUGUCUAACAUUUUUCUUCCUAAGAGAUAGAAGUCAGAAGUGAGAUCUCAAGCAGAAUUCCAGGAGUGCUGGUGACUCAACAGAGCUGCCUGGUCAGGGCCCAUUGUGCCCUUGGCCUCUCCCAGCCACUGGAGGUCAGGGGUCUCCUGCUGGUGAAACUAGCAGUGGCUCUUGAAGUCCUGAUGAACAAUUCAAGAUUAAAUCAAGCACUAUGGCAACUGCUGCAAUCCACAGGAUCUUACCAUGAAGCUCAGGCUGUCCUGG
rnacentral:lncRNA from 1 species